rnacentral:snoRNA from 1 species
ACAUGAUGAGACUCCAGCUGGCACCAGUCAUAGGGUGACUUGUACUCCCUCCAUUGAUGACCAAUUUGCUGUGGUUUACAAACCACCUCUGAA